rnacentral:misc_RNA from 1 species
GGAGGAUCAAGGCGAGUGCAAGCAAUUUAGUCUUCCCGUGGAAUCCGGCUACCGGAUUUUGAAGAGCUAAAGCGAAGCGCAUCAUAUAAAUUUGAAACGCCAGCAGCUGAAGUCGGAGACUCCCUACUCGCUACUCUUGCCAUCUCAUAGGAAGGGAAAACAGGAAAUGGAUGAAGAAGAAUUUCGACGCCUUCUUGAUCUCUUCCCUGUUGUCCGACCUCGCGAUUACCAUAUUGACUUCGACCUAUCUAGGCAAUCCACUUCUCGGUCGCUGCAGGAUGAGGCGGCAAAGAAUUGGCAUGACUCAUGGGAGGAGCAGGAGGGGGAUGAAAAGGAAACAAGCAAUCAAGCUAUUGAUUUACAUGAUGCAUUCUGGGAGAAGCUGAAGUUGGCAGUUGAGAGGAAGGUAUUUUUCUGGCUUUUAAUUAAUUGUAAGAAGUUGGGUCAAGGCGUAAUUAUAUAAACAGUACAAGAUAAAAUUUUGUCUUAGGCCAUUCUUUGAGCCUGUAGGACAUGAUUAUCUGAUAUGGGGGAAAACCAUCUUGUAAUGUUUGUAUAAAUCGAGUCCAUAUUCGUUGUCCUUCAAACUUUUUGAAUUUUAUGAGCUGCUUAUUUUUUGACUAGUUUAUUAUUUUCUCUCUAUUUGGGUGCUCAUGAGCUUCUUCCACCGAAUAUUGUGCAAUGCAAUGAAGUUUCUUAAGGUGUAACGGAUAAGUUCCCAUAUGCAAGGAGAAUUUUGUCAUAUGAGAAGGAGAUAUUGAAUUUGAAGAAGAGAUUUUGAUUAUUAGUGAACAAGAACACAUUAUUUUUACUUUUAGUGGGAUUUCAAUUGAGGUGAUGUGGUAUUUGGAGCAUGACAUUGUUAUCUAUUAGGCUACAUACUUACAUGCCAAAAUGUAUUGCUGAUGACGAUGACCCUUGAAAUGCUAGACACAAAUGUUGUGUGCAAUGUCAUGUUCAAAUUGUGAAAUAGAACGGAUACACUAAUUUCCAUAUUGAAUACAGUCCAUGAGAAUACAUAAGAUCAAACAGUUCAAUGGAAAUGUUAUAAUUUUGGUCUCAAGUUCUUUAAUAGCUUAAUUUAAGCUCAAUGGUUGGUUUCUUUUGAAUUGAAUGGAUUUUUGGACUUGCUGUAAGAUUGGAGUUGUAGUGGAUGCUUGAUAAAUAUAUUGUCAUGCAGUGUGCAGUCCAUAGAUAUGUUUGAGCUUUGUAGCUGAUAUAAUUACUUUUGGCAAUUAGUUAUAGCAAGUGGAUAGGCUGUUAGUUGUGUGAAAUUGUCUGCUAUGCAAAAGGGGAAAACCUCAGGUUUAUUUCAUGGGAUAGUAAUAAGGUCAAAGCAGUCAUUAUUGUGAUGAUGACUUGUCGAAGGUUUUUCCUGAUAUGAAUUGGUAUGCCUUCGUAACUUGAAGCAUUUCACUGGGGCUUUAUUGUUUAAAUCUUGAUUCAAUUUAGUUGUUUAAGGGACAAGUACAUUUAUAUCAUGUGAAAAAAGAGUUUUGCCUUUAUAGUUAGGGGCAUUGCUGUCUUAAAGAAUGCUUUGAUAAAUUAUCUGGGUGAAACCCCUUUCCCAUACAUGCAUCUGGAAUGACUGAAGAGCUUUUCAAAAAUGGGGGAAAAAUUGUUAAUAUUUCUUAAUGAAGAGUUGCUAAUUUUGGUGUGCUUGUGGAUUUAUAGGUGGGUGCAGCAGAGGCUAAGAGAUUUUGCAACGCUUUUCAACAAGUUCACAGGCAACUAGUGAGUAUGCGCAAUAUACCAUAGAAUCAUACAAUAAUUUUGUUCAGUUAACUCUCCAUUUUUCUGUUAUUGAUGCCAUAAAAUUUGUAAAAUUUGUACUUUCUUAUCUCCAGGUAUAUGAAGAGCUGAGUUUCGAUGCUGCCCGUAGCUUCAUAAAUUCAAAAAGUUCUGGAAAACAGUUUUCUUCCUAGCUGUAUUAUUCACUUUUUCUCAAAUUGAUUAUGCAGUUGCCACCUAUUUUGUUCUGAAGGAAAAAUAACAUUGUGAUCUAGUUUGAAAUGAGAUUGAGAAU